UCCGGGAGGAAAGGCUGGCCG
rnacentral:misc_RNA from 1 species